AGCAGCCCGGUCUUCCAAAGGCUUGCAAGCCGUCUGACGAAUGCCUUGCUUACGGUGGCUAUUGCAUCAGCAACAGCCAGAAAGGAGACUGCAACGGCCUCCUGUUUGCGAAGGAAUGCAAAUCAGCUCUAUGUUCCUGCUGUAUAGAAGCUACACUGAAGCGAGAUGAAUGCCAAGAGAUGCCCGGUAUCUGCCCCAGCGCAACCUCAGUGUGUCAUGAUAAAGAUGUAGGCUACGAGUGCGUUUGCAAUGCAGGCUUCAAGACAGUAGUGUGUGGAGGUG